rnacentral:lncRNA from 1 species
GAGAAAAAAAUGUGCCACUUCUUAAUGGGAGGAACGGCACGGUGACAUUGUAAAGCGUAUUCAUAAGAAAGAAGCAAAAUGGAUGCCCUUUUUGCAACUUCCUUCAGAAGAAAAUCAAAUGUUUAUAUUGAAAAGAAAAUAGUUAUAAUUAGAACAUAUGGGAGAAUACAACUUUUAGAAGACGUACCCGGUGUUUGCGAAAAAACAUGUCUCCAGUGUUGCAACUCACACAUCCAUAUGCGUAUUCACACACCACUGGAAGUGCUGCUUUAAAAUGCAGGUAUGUCCAGGGAGACUGCAAGAGAGAAACAAGGAGAAAUGGAGAGAAGAAAAUGAAGAGAAAAUAAGAGCAUCCAUAAAUAUAUAGCAG